rnacentral:tRNA from 1 species
GGCUCAGUGGGUAAAAAAUCCGCCUGCAACGCAGGAGACACAGGAGAUGCAGGUUUGAUCCCUGCCUGAGUCA